rnacentral:rRNA from 1 species
AUUGAACGCUGGCGGCAUGCCUUACACAUGCAAGUCGAACGGUAACGGGUCCUUCGGGAUGCCGACGAGUGGCGAACGGGUGAGUAAUAUAUCGGAACGUGCCCAGUAGUGGGGGAUAACUGCUCGAAAGAGCAGCUAAUACCGCAUACGACCAGCGGGUGAAAGGGGGGAUCGCAAGACCUCUCGCUAUUUGAGCGGCCGAUAUCAGAUGAGCUAGUUGGUGGGGUAAAGGCCUACCAAGGCAACGAUCUGUAGUUGGCCUGAGAGGGCGACCAGCCACACGGGGACUGAGACACGGCCCAGACUCCUACGGGAGGCAGCAGUGGGGAAUUUUGGACAAUGGGCGCAAGCCUGAUCCAGCAAUGCCGCGUGCAGGAAGAAGGCCUUCGGGUUGUAAACUGCUUUUGUCAGGGAAGAAAUCUUCUGGGCUAAUACCCCGGGAGGAUGACGGUACCUGAAGAAUAAGCACCGGCUAACUACGUGCCAGCCGCCGCGGUAA